CCAGCUGCUGGGGGCAGUGGAGAGCCCAAGAGGAGAGUAGUUCUGGACACUGAAGCCAGUGGGCCACCUAGGGCGGGGAGAAGGAGACACUUCAGCCCAGACCAGCCACUCCUGACCAUCCCUGCCCUGAGGCCAGAGGCAGUGGGACCCGGAGGAGGGAAAAUAGGCCGAAAGAGGAUCCAGACGAGCCACCACCCCGGCUGCUGCAGCGCAGGGAAGGCCUUGAAUGACACACGAGAGCUUGGAAUUUCUCUGGACGUGGCAUGGCAGGUGUCGCUCCACUGGCACCUGGGGUUGGCGAGUGGUCGGUGCGUGAUCCAGCCCUCCCGUCUCUGGGCCUCAGCUGCCACCUUUCUGCAGUAAGGGCACCUCCCGCUCAAGGGCUGUGGUGAGGAUCAGAGACCUCCAAUGAACAGAAGCUCUGAAAACUGCCCGUAAUCUCAGCGCUUUGGAAGGCUGAAGUGGAAAGAUCACCAAGGGGUUCGAGGCUGGCCUGGGCAUCAUAGUGAGACUUCAUCUCUACAAAAACAAAAAAUAAAAAAUUAGCCAGGUGUGAUGGCACCUCUAAAGUAGCCCAGCUACUCUAGAGGCUGAGGUGGGAGAAUCCUUUGAACCUGGGAGGUGGAGGCCACAGAUCUGUGAUUGCACCACUACUCCAGCCUGGGCAACCAACAGAGCAAAAUCUUGCCUAAAAGAAAAAAAAUAUGGCCAGGCACGGUGGUUCAUGCCUGUAAUCCCAGCAUUUUGGGAGGCCAAGGCAGGUGGAUCACCUGAGGUCAGGAGUUUGAGACCAGCUUGGCCAACACGGUGAAACCCUGUCUCUAUAAAAAAAAUACAAAAACGUA